rnacentral:rRNA from 1 species
GAUGAACGCUGGCGGCGUGCCUAAUACAUGCAAGUCGAACGAAAGGACGCUACGCUUGUUUCUCUGUUGUUAGCGGAGGGCGGGAGAGUAACGUGUGGAUCACCUACUUAUCUGACUGGGAUAAUUUCGGGAAACCGGCGAUUAUACCGGAUAAUAUUUUGCACCGCAUGGUUCAAUAGUGAGAGUCGGUCUUGCGGUCUGUACUAGCUGGUUCCGCGCUGCAUUAGCUAGUUGGUAGGGUACCGGCUUACCAAGGCUACGAUGCGUAGCCGACCUGAGAGGGUGAUCGCCCACACGGGAAGGGAGACACGGUCCAGACUCCUACGGGAGGCAGCAGUAGGGAAUCUGCCGCAAUGGGCGAAAGCCUGACGCAGCAACGCCGCGUGAGUGAUGAAGGUCUUCGGAUCGUAAAGCUCUGUUAUGAGGGAAGAACAGAUGUGGAAUUAACCGUGGACAUCGUGACGGUACCUAAUCAGAAAGCAACGGCUAACUACGUG